CUCUCUUCUAUCUCCCCUAGGUGGGCCCCGCUGCCUCCCACGUCUCCUACCUCUCACUCUUUGUUCGCGACUCGCCGCCUCCGCUACCUGCCCUCUUCUUGUUGGCGAGAUCUCCCCUCCUCCGUCUCGGCUCUCCCAUGGAUCUGGUCGCGGCGGCCGCCGCCGCAAUCCUCGUGCUCCUCGCCGUCGCUGUGGCGGUUCCAAGAACGGCGGCCUCGAUCCACGCCUAUGAUCUCGAGCCCUUCAGGGAGGUCGGCAACUCCGUCCUCCUCUCCGGCGGCAGCGAAGGGAUCGUUGCGUCGGACCCCGAUGCUCGUGGCCCCUUUCGGAUCGAGGAUGGCCGUGCUUAUAUCAAGUUUGACAACAUCACGUUCUGGAGGAGUAAAGAAUCAGCCGAACAGCACUCAAACAUGGGGCACAGCACAGGAUUAAUCCAGGCUAUUAUAUUUGAAGCAUCUGACCGUGAUAACAUUGGUGGAUCUGCUUAUGGGGGGCAAAGGUCCAUAUGUUGCACCCCUGAUCUUGCUAAGCUUGAAGGAUGCAAACAAGGUGAAGUCAUCAGAAGACCAUCCUCCGUGGAUCCAAAUUGGCCUGUUAUAUUAAGCACGCACUUCAGGGCAGAUUACAUAUUCACAAAGAUGGAACCUAAUCAGGUUAAUAUAACAAAGACUGGAAUGUAUAACUUGUUCUUUAUCUCUUGUGAUCCUAAGCUAAGGGGACUGACAAUGAGUGGGAAGACAAUCUGGAAAAACCCUGAUGGUUACCUGCCUGGGAGGAUGGCACCGCUAAUGAAAUUCUACUUCUUCAUGUCUAUGGCAUAUCUGGCACUCAGUUUCAUUUGGUUUGCUCAGUACAUUAGAUUCUGGAGGGAUAUCUUGCCUCUUCAGAAUUGUAUUUCAUUAGUUAUAGCUCUUGGCCUGUUUGAAAUGACUCUUUGGUACUUUGAGUACUUAAAUUUCAAUGACACUGGUGUGCGACCUAUAGGAAUAACCACUUGGGUUGUGACCGUUGGGGCUGUCAGAAAAACUGUUUCACGUCUUCUUAUUCUUACGGUUUCUAUGGGUUAUGGUGUUGUACGGCCAACACUUGGAGGUCUUACAACCAAGGUGCUUCUUCUUGGAGUAACUUAUUUUUUGGCAUCAGAGUUACUCAGUAUCACGGAAAAUGUUGGGACAAUCAAUGACAUUUCUGGCAAAGCAAAAUUGCUCCUUGUCCUUCCUGAUGCAUUUCUGGAUGCUUUCUUGAUUCUUUGGAUCUUUACGUCUCUUUCACGGACAUUAGAAAAGCUGCAGGCUAGGAGGAGUUCUGUGAAGUUAGAUAUAUACCGGAAGUUUACGAACGCAUUGGCUGUUGCUGUGAUUGCUUCAGUCUCUUGGAUUGGAUAUGAGGUUUAUUUCAAAGCAACAGACCCCUUCAGCGAGAGAUGGCAGAGUGCAUGGAUCAUUACUGCUUUCUGGGACAUUCUUUCCUUGGUGCUGCUCUGUGUCAUGUGCUAUCUGUGGGCACCAUCUCAAAGCUCUCAAAGAUAUGCUUAUUCGGGUGAAGCUGGCGACGACGAUGAAGAAGCACAAUCUCUUACAAAAGGGACUUCUGAUGGCAACAUUGGAUUGGUGAAGCUCGAUAAAAAGGAAAGGACUGCAGAUCAUGCCGAUGCAUUUAGUCUUGAAGAUGAGGCGGAAGAGGACAAGCUGGAGUAGAUUCUCCUUGUGUACAUUGUUCUACCCUAUGAAGAUUGUAGCAGCAGCCAAACAAUCAUCACCAUCCUUUCGAGCAGAAGAUAGCAGCAAAUGGAUGUUCAACGAAGCUGUGUGUACACGGUGAGAUGGUAUUUAUUGUGAUGGGAACCAACUGGACCAGCAAAGUCAAAAAGGAAACGACCGAGUCCUCUCCACUUUCCCGUGGUUUGGUUUCUCUAAGGUGCCGCUUGUUGUUGGUCUAAAGAACUCAUCGUUCCUUUCCUCCACCGCCAAGCGAUAACAACGCCCUUCUCGGAUUCACUGUGAUCGCGAUGGCCGGGCGAUCUGGCGGAGGCGGAGGCGGCCCGAGCUCGGGCCAAAACCCUCGCGGAUGGGACUUCCGAUGGGGAUCUGACCGUGCCGGUGGUAGAGGUGGCGGGUGGGAGUACUUCUGGGGCGUUGGCUCGGCGCCCGGCGGCGGGGGCGGGGGCGCUGCUGCUGAUUUCGGCUUCUGGCGAGGGUCGUACGGCCGACCCGAGAACGGCGCCCACCAGUUCGGGUUUGGAUGGAGCGGUCGUUCCGAUGACGGACGCGUCGGCGGGGGAGGAGGCGGCGGUGGAGGGUACGGCUUCGGAUUCGGUGGCGGUGGCGGUGGCGGGGGCGGGGGUGGGACUUCGAGCGUUGGAGGGUUCGGGUUUGGUGGAGCUCGCGGUGGCGGAGCAGGCUCUAACAGCGCUCCGCCGCGGGGUACCGGACCGUGAUGGGAGUAGCUUCAGAAUUACGAUUGUGCCCCCUCUCUGCUGUAAUAUCUACUGUAUCUUGCAUGUGAUGUUUGUGGGUGUUAAUACAUAAACGAUGUGGAGAAAAAUAAGGGGAGGAGGACGCUUUGUAAUAGGAAUCUAAUUAUGGACACUAUGUUUGGAAUUUUACUACGCUUAAGAGCACAUAACGUUACUUGCGAUGUUUAA